CCCAGACAGCCAGGAUGUUGGCUUAGAAGCAGCCAUCAUUUAAAGAAAGCGUAAUAGCUCACUGGUCGAGUCGGCCUGCGCGGAAGAUGUAACGGGGCUAAACCAUGCACCGAAGCUGCGGCAGCGACACUCAGGUGUUGUUGGGUAGGGGAGCGUUCUGUAAGCCUGUGAAGGUGGCCUGUGAGGCAUGCUGGAGGUAUCAGAAGUGCGAAUGCUGACAUAAGUAACGAUAAAGCGGGUGAAAAGCCCGCUCGCCGGAAGACCAA
rnacentral:rRNA from 1 species